AUUGAACGCUGGCGGCAGGCUUAACACAUGCAAGUCGAGCGGGGUGAUGGUGCUUGCACUAUCACUUAGCGGCGGACGGGUGAGUAAUGCUUAGGAAUCUGCCUAUUAGUGGGGGACAACAUCUCGAAAGGGAUGCUAAUACCGCAUACGUCCUACGGGAGAAAGCAGGGGAUCACUUGUGACCUUGCGCUAAUAGACGAGCCUAAGUCGGAUUAGCUAGUUGGUGGGGUAAAGGCCUACCAAGGCGACGAUCUGUAGCGGGUCUGAGAGGAUGAUCCGCCACACUGAGACUGAGACACGGCCCAGACUCCUACGGGAGGCAGCAGUGGGGAAUAUUGGACAAUGGGGGGAACCCUGAUCCAGCCAUGCCGCGUGUGUGAAGAAGGCCUUAUGGUUGUAAAGCACUUUAAGCGAGGAGGAGGCUCUUUUGGUUAAUACCCAAGAUGAGUGGACGUUACUCGCAGAAUAAGCACCGGCUAACUCUGUGCCAGCCGCCGCCGUAAAAC
rnacentral:rRNA from 1 species